UCCUACGGGACGCAGCAGUGAGGAAUAUUGGUCAAUGGCCGCAGGGCUGAACCAGCCAAGUCGCGUGAGGGAUGACGGUCCUAUGGAUUGUAAACCUCUUUUGUCAGGGAGCAAAGGGCGCCACGUGUGGCGUUUUGCGAGUACCUGAAGAAAAAGCAUCGGCUAACUCCGUGCCAGCAGCCGCGGUAAUACGGAGGAUGCGAGCGUUAUCCGGAUUUAUUGGGUUUAAAGGGUGCGUAGGCGGAAUGUCAAGUCAGCGGUAAAAUCGUGGGGCUCAACCCCAUCCAGCCGUUGAAACUGGGGAU
rnacentral:rRNA from 1 species